UACGGAGGGUGCAAGCGUUAUCCGGAUUCACUGGGUUUAAAGGGUGCGUAGGCGGGCAGAUAAGUCAGUGGUGAAAUCUUUGGGCUUAACCCGAAAACUGCCAUUGAUACUAUUUGUCUUGAAUAUUGUGGAGGUUAGCGGAAUAUGUCAUGUAGCGGUGAAAUGCUUAGAUAUGACAUAGAACACCAAUUGCGAAGGCAGCUGGCUACACAUAUAUUGACACUGAGGCACGAAAGCGUGGGGAUCAAACAGG
rnacentral:rRNA from 1 species